GUCGAGCGGUAGAGAGAAGCUUGCUUCUCUUGAGAGCGGCGGACGGGUGAGUAAUGCCUAGGAAUCUGCCUGGUAGUGGGGGAUAACGUUCGGAAACGGACGCUAAUACCGCAUACGUCCUACGGGAGAAAGCAGGGGACCUUCGGGCCUUGCGCUAUCAGAUGAGCCUAGGUCGGAUUAGCUAGUUGGUGGGGUAAUGGCUCACCAAGGCGACGAUCCGUAACUGGUCUGAGAGGAUGAUCAGUCACACUGGAACUGAGACACGGUCCAGACUCCUACGGGAGGCAGCAGUGGGGAAUAUUGGACAAUGGGCGAAAGCCUGAUCCAGCCAUGCCGCGUGUGUGAAGAAGGUCUUCGGAUUGUAAAGCACUUUAAGUUGGGAGGAAGGGUUGUAGAUUAAUACUCUGCAAUUUUGACGUUACCGACAGAAUAAGCACCGGCUAACUCUGUGCCAGCAGCCGCGGUAAUACAGAGGGUGCAAGCGUUAAUCGGAAUUACUGGGCGUAAAGCGCGCGUAGGUGGUUUGUUAAGUUGGAUGUGAAAUCCCCGGGCUCAACCUGGGAACUGCAUUCAAAACUGACUGACUAGAGUAUGGUAGAGGGUGGUGGAAAUUCCUGUGU
rnacentral:rRNA from 1 species